rnacentral:rRNA from 1 species
UACGUAGGGGGCAAGCGUUGUCCGGAUUUACUGGGCGUAAAGAGCGUGUAGGCGGCCAUGCAGGUCCGUUGUGAAAACUGGAGGCUUAACCUCCAGACGUCGACGGAAACUGCGUGGCUAGAGUCCGGAAGAGGAGAGUGGAAUUCCUGGUGUAGCGGUGAAAUGCGCAGAUAUCAGGAAGAACGCCAAUGGCGAAGGCAGCUCUCUGGGACGGUACUGACGCUGAGACGCGAAAGCGUGGGGAGCGAACAGG